GAUGAACGCUGGCGGCGUGCCUAAUACAUGCAAGUCGAGCGAACGGACGAGAAGCUUGCUUCUCUGAUGUUAGCGGCGGACGGGUGAGUAACACGUGGAUAACCUACCUAUAAGACUGGGAUAACUUCGGGAAACCGGAGCUAAUACCGGAUAAUAUUUUGAACCGCAUGGUUCAAAAGUAAAAGACGGUCUUGCUGUCACUUAUAGAUGGAUCCGCGCUGCAUUAGCUAGUUGGUAAGGUAACGGCUUACCAAGGCAACGAUGCAUAGCCGACCUGAGAGGGUGAUCGGCCACACUGGAACUGAAACACGGUCCAGACUCCUACGGGAGGCAGCAGUAGGGAAUCUUCCGCAAUGGGCGAAAGCCUGACGGAGCAACGCCGCGUGAGUGAUGAAGGUCUUCGGAUCGUAAAACUCUGUUAUUAGGGAAGAACAUAUGUGUAAGUAACUGUGCACAUCUUGACGGUACCUAAUCAGAAAGCCACGGCUAACUACGUG
rnacentral:rRNA from 1 species